GAUGAAGAACGCAGCGAAAUGCGAUAAGUAAUGUGAAUUGCAGAAUUCGGUGAAUCAUCGAAUCUUUGAACGCACAUUGCGCCCGCCAGUAUUCUGGCGGGCAUGCCUGUUCGAGCGUCAUUACAACCCUCAGGCCCCCGGGCCUGGCGUUGGGGAUCGGCGGAGCCCCCCGUGGGCACACGCCGUCCCCCAAAUGCAGUGGCGGUCCCGCCGCAGCUUCCAUCGCGUAGUAGCUAACACCUCGCGACUGGAGAGCGGCGCGGCCACGCCGUAAAACACCCAACUCUUCUGAAGUUGACCUCGAAUCAGGUAGGAAUACCCGCUGAACUUAAGCAUAUCAAUAAGCGGAGGA
rnacentral:misc_RNA from 1 species